UUGCUCUGUGGGAUCAGUGGCGAACGGGUGAGUAACACGUGAGCAACCUGCCCCUGACUCUGGGAUAAGCGCUGGAAACGGCGUCUAAUACUGGAUAUGUGACGUGACCGCAUGGUCUGCGUCUGGAAAGAAUUUCGGUUGGGGAUGGGCUCGCGGCCUAUCAGCUUGUUGGUGAGGUAAUGGCUCACCAAGGCGUCGACGGGUAGCCGGCCUGAGAGGGUGACCGGCCACACUGGGACUGAGACACGGCCCAGACUCCUACGGGAGGCAGCAGUGGGGAAUAUUGCACAAUGGGCGCAAGCCUGAUGCAGCAACGCCGCGUGAGGGACGACGGCCUUCGGGUUGUAAACCUCUUUUAGCAGGGAAGAAGCGAAAGUGACGGUACCUGCAGAAAAAGCGCCGGCUAACUACGUGCCAGCAGCCGCGGUAAUACGUAGGGCGCAAGCGUUAUCCGGAAUUAUUGGGCGUAAAGAGCUCGUAGGCGGUUUGUCGCGUCUGCUGUGAAAUCCGGAGGCUCAACCUCCGGCCUGCAGUGGGUACGGGCAGACUAGAGUGCGGUAGGGGAGAUUGGAAUUCCUGGUGUAGCGGUGGAAUGCGCAGAUAUCAGGAGGAACACCGAUGGCGAAGGCAGAUCUCUGGGCCGUAACUGACGCUGAGGAGCGAAAGGGUGGGGAGCAAACAGGCUUAGAUACCCUGGUAGUCCACCCCGUAAACGUUGGGAACUAGUUGUGGGGUCCAUUCCACGGAUUCCGUGACGCAGCUAACGCAUUAAGUUCCCCGCCUGGGGAGUACGGCCGCAAGGCUAAAACUCAAAGGAAUUGACGGGGGACCCGCACAAGCGGCGGAGCAUGCGGAUUAAUUCGAUGCAACGCGAAGAACCUUACCAAGGCUUGACAUAUACGAGAACGGGCCCAGAAAUGGUCA
rnacentral:rRNA from 1 species